ACAAUUUAAAGUGUAUAUAUCUAAAGGAAGAAGACAUAACAUUCUGUAUCUAUAUACUAAUGUAUAUUCUCCUGAACACUAUUUGGGAUAGAUGGCUCUUGGAGAAAAAAAGGUCUAUGGACUACUAUGAAGAAAGCGCCUGGCAUAAUCUUGGCACAUUGAAGGCAUUCAAAAAAUACCAGUCAUCUCUCUUCACUCCCUCUAACUCUAACUUACUUUAACCUCAUUUAAACUUUGAGGAAAAAGAACUCAAGGGAAAGACAGAAGAGAGAAAAAAAGAAAAGAGAAAGGAGAAACAUGGGUUUUGCUGCAAAGAAAUACCAAAAUUAUUUCAAAUCAGUCAAAGUGAAUCAUCUGUCUACCAACAUGCCUCAUUUUUCAUUGUCUAUUGGUAACUUAGAAAAAAGUAACUAAUCUUCCAGAGGCUGCCUGCAUCACUUGGCUUGGGGCCCCUUCCUCCAUCUUCAACAGGAGGUUGAGUUCCUUGUCACACAACAUCACUCGGACCUUGUCUUCUGCCUCCCUCUUCCACUUCUAAAAGCCCCUGUGAUUACACUGGACUCAUCCAAAUAACCCAGGAUCAUCAUCUCCUCUCCAGACACAUGGCAGGACUGCCCUUUCCGACCUCCUUGAAAUGGAAUCGUGGCCUAGUAACUCGCUUUGGACAAUGAAAUGUGGGAAGUAAAACAUGUCACUUCCAGGUGGAAGCUUUAAGCCAGAGCUCGACUUGCCAAUUCCCUUCCUGGAAGCAUGUGCUGAGAUGGAGCCUUUGUCAGCUGAGUCUCUGAGUGACUCUAAUGACUAUAAUGAGGGAUGUCCCUCUGCCAAUCCACACAACGUGUACUUUGAGUGAGAAAUAAGCCUUUGCUGUAUUAA